GCCGGGCGAGGUGGCGGGCGCCUGUAGUCCCAGCUACUCGGGAGGCUGAGGCAGGAGAAUGGCGUGAACCCGGGAGGCGGAGCUUGCAGUGAGCUGAGAUCCGGCCACUGCACUCCAGCCUGGGCGACAGAGUGAGACUCCGUCUCAAAAAAAAAAAAAAAAAAAAAAAAAAAAAAAAAAAAAAAUUUUUUUUCAGGCAGGAGUGCAGUGGCGCGAUCUUGGCUCACUGCAACUUCUGCCUCCUGGGGUCAAGCGAUUCUCCUGCCUCAG
rnacentral:SRP_RNA from 1 species